rnacentral:rRNA from 1 species
CCUACGGGGGGCUGCAGUGGGGAAUAUUGGACAAUGGGCGAAAGCCUGAUCCAGCCAUGCCGCGUGUGUGAAGAAGGCCUUCGGGUUGUAAAGCACUUUCAGUGGGGAAGAAAGCCUUGGGGCUAAUACCCUCGAGGAAGGACAUCACCCACAGAAGAAGCACCGGCUAACUCCGUGCCAGCAGCCGCGGUAAUACGGAGGGUGCGAGCGUUAAUCGGAAUUACUGGGCGUAAAGCGCGCGUAGGCGGUCUGAUAAGCCGGGUGUGAAAGCCCCGGGCUCAACCUGGGAACGGCAUCCGGAACUGUCAGGCUAGAGGGCAGGAGAGGAAGGUAGAAUUCCCGGUGUAGCGGUGAAAUGCGGAGAGAUCGGGAGGAAUACCAGUGGCGAAGGCGGCCUUCUGGACUGACACUGACGCUGAGGUGCGAAAGCGUGGGUAGCAAACAGGAUUAGAUACCCGUGUAGUC